rnacentral:rRNA from 1 species
AUUGAACGCUGGCGGCAUGCUUUACACAUGCAAGUCGAACGGUAACAGGCCGCAAGGUGCUGACGAGUGGCGCACGGGUGAGUAAUGCAUCGGAACGUGCCCAGUCGUGGGGGAUAACUACUCGAAAGAGUAGCUAACACCGCAUACGAUCUAUGGAUGAAAGCGGGGGACCGUAAGGCCUCGCGCGAUUGGAGCGGCCGAUGUCAGAUUAGGUAGUUGGCGGGGUAAAGGCUCACCAAGCCAACGAUCUGUAGCUGGUCUGAGAGGACGACCAGCCACACUGGGACUGAGACACGGCCCAGACUCCUACGGGAGGCAGCAGUGGGGAAUUUUGGACAAUGGGCGCAAGCCUGAUCCAGCAAUGCCGCGUGCAGGAAGAAGGCCUUCGGGUUGUAAACUGCUUUUGUACGGAACGAAACGGCUCUGGUUAAUACCCGGGGGUAAUGACGGUACCGUAAGAAUAAGCACCGGCUAACUACGUG